UUACAAUCCGACUCAAUACCUUCCAAUCACCUCGUUAUUUCUUCUGUUCCUUCCGUGCCUCGUACACGUAAAUAGAACGAAUCGUCUAACGUUUCACGAUCUCUUUCCACUCUCACACAACGUCUUGCCUCCGAACAAACUGGUUCGUCGCACAACGAAGUAACGGGUAACGACGGCAAUAAUUAAAGCGGGAGAACGCCAACAUGGAUGAUUAUUGUGGCCGGCAGAAGGCGUAACGAGAGUGAGCGCGAGCCAUAGAAAGCGACCGUGGCGCCAUCGAACGAGCGUAAUUGCUAAUUACGCUUGGAACGGGUGCACGAGGGGUUAGCGGCGAGGGAAAUUGGCGUGACGGAAUCCUCGAACCGGGUCCUUCCACCCUCCGGCAUCGACGUACACCUGCUCCAGUGAGACGUGGAUGGGAGUCCAGUUUGCACAUAGUCGAGCCGCGGUUAAUUUUCUGGCUUGUAACGGUGGCCGGCCAAGUUUGACGAUUGCUCUUGUUCGAUUCUGCUUAUGCAUCGCACGGAUCUAUAUGAGCCCCAGAAAAUGGGAUAACUGCGGAUUGAAUGUGUGUGCCGAUAACCACAAAUCGUUCGGGGUAAACGUUUCCACGUAUACGAGAUAUACGUGGAAGUUGCGAGCCAAUGGCAAUCGGGAGAUUAAGUUUUUUAUUCCGGGAAUGGAUGGACGGGGUGAGGGGACCCAUGCUGAUUUCUAAGCCAGGCUUCUUCCUUCGACCCGCACGAACUAUCUUUCAUUGUUAGAAAUCUGUCUGGAGAUAAUAGAGGAUAUCGG